rnacentral:tRNA from 1 species
GUGUGGCUCAAUGGAUAUGGUAUUGGCUUAUAUAGCUGGGGAUUCUGGGUUCAAGUCCCA